rnacentral:rRNA from 1 species
AUGAACGCUAGCUACAGGCUUAACACAUGCAAGUCGAGGGGCAGCAUGGUCUUAGCUUGCUAAGGCCGAUGGCGACCGGCGCACGGGUGAGUAACACGUAUCCAACCUGCCGUCUACUCUUGGACAGCCUUCUGAAAGGAAGAUUAAUACAAGAUGGCAUCAUGAGUCCGCAUGUUCACAUGAUUAAAGGUAUUCCGGUAGACGAUGGGGAUGCGUUCCAUUAGAUAGUAGGCGGGGUAACGGCCCACCUAGUCUUCGAUGGAUAGGGGUUCUGAGAGGAAGGUCCCCCACAUUGGAACUGAGACACGGUCCAAACUCCUACGGGAGGCAGCAGUGAGGAAUAUUGGUCAAUGGGCGAGAGCCUGAACCAGCCAAGUAGCGUGAAGGAUGACUGCCCUAUGGGUUGUAAACUUCUUUUAUAAAGGAAUAAAGUCGGGUAUGGAUACCCGUUUGCAUGUACUUUAUGAAUAAGGAUCGGCUAACUCCGUGCCAGCAGCCGCGGUAAUACGGAGGAUCCGAGCGUUAUCCGGAUUUAUUGGGUUUAAAGGGAGCGUAGAUGGAUGUUUAAGUCAGUUGUGAAAGUUUGCGGCUCAACCGUAAAAUUGCAGUUGAUAAUGGAUAUCUUGAGUGCAGUUGAGGCAGGCGGAAUUCGUGGUGUAGCGGUGAAAUGCUUAGAUAUCACGAAGAACUCCGAUUGCGAAGGCAGCCUGCUAAGCUGCAACUGACAUUGAGGCUCGAAAGUGUGGGUAUCAAACAGGAUUAGAUACCCUGGUAGUCCACACGGUAAACGAUGAAUACUCGCUGUUUGCGAUAUACUGCAAGCGGCCAAGCGAAAGCGUUAAGUAUUCCACCUGGGGAGUACGCCGGCAACGGUGAAACUCAAAGGAAUUGACGGGGGCCCGCACAAGCGGAGGAACAUGUGGUUUAAUUCGAUGAUACGCGAGGAACCUUACCCGGGCUUAAAUUGCAGAUGAAUUACGGUGAAAGCCGUAAGCCGCAAGGCAUCUGUGAAGGUGCUGCAUGGUUGUCGUCAGCUCGUGCCGUGAGGUGUCGGCUUAAGUGCCAUAACGAGCGCAACCCUUGUUGUCAGUUACUAACAGGUUCCGCUGAGGACUCUGACAAGACUGCCAUCGUAAGAUGUGAGGAAGGUGGGGAUGACGUCAAAUCAUCAUGCCCUUUAUGACCUGGGCUACACACGUACUACAAUGGCUAUAACAAAGAGAAGCGAAAUAGCGAUAUGGAGCAAAACUCAAAAAAAUAGUCUCAGUUCGGAUUGAAGGCUGAAAUUCGCCUUCAUGAAGCUGGAAUUGCUAGUAAUGGCAGGUCAGCAUACUGCCGUGAAUACGUUCCCGGGCCUUGUACACACCGCCCGUCACACCAUGGGAGUUGGUAACGCCCGAAGUCAGUGACCCAACCGUAAGGAGGGAGCUGCCGAAGGUGGGACCGAUAACUGGGGUG